UUGCACAAUGGGCGAAAGUCUGAUGCAGCAACGCCGCGUGCGCGAUGAAGGCCUUCGGGUCGUAAAGCGCUUUUCUGAGGGAAGAGAAAGGACUGUACCUCAGGAAUAAGUCUCGGCUAACUACGUGCCAGCAGCCGCGGUAAUACGUAGGAGGCAAGCGUUAUCCGGAUUUACUGGGCGUAAAGCGCGUGCAGGCGGUUUGGUAAGUUGGAUGUGAAAUCUCCUGGCUCAACCGGGAGGGGUCGUUCAAAACUGCCAGACUAGAGGACGGUAGAGGAGAGUGGAAUUCCCGGUGUAGUGGUGAAAUGCGUAGAUAUCGGGAGGAACACCAGUGGCGAAAGCGGCUCUCUGGGCCGUUCCUGACGCUAAGACGCGAAAGCGUGGGUAGCGAACGGGAUUAGAAACCCCGGUAGUCCACGCUGUAAACGAUGCGAACUUGGUGUUGGUGGCGUAAAAACCUUCAGUGCCGAAGCAAACGCGAUAAGUUCGCCGCCUGGGGACUACGAUCGCAAGAUUA
rnacentral:rRNA from 1 species